GAUGAACGCUAGCUACAGGCUUAACACAUGCAAGUCGAGGGGCAGCAUGAUUGAAGCUUGCUUCAAUCGAUGGCGACCGGCGCACGGGUGAGUAACACGUAUCCAACCUGCCGAUAACUCGGGGAUAGCCUUUCGAAAGAAAGAUUAAUACCCGAUAGUAUAGUAUUUCCGCAUGGUUUCACUAUUAAAGAACUUCGGUUAUCGAUGGGGAUGCGUUCCAUUAGAUAGUUGGCGGGGUAACGGCCCACCAAGUCAACGAUGGAUAGGGGUUCUGAGAGGAAGGUCCCCCAGAUUGGAACUGAGACACGGUCCAAACUCCUACGGGAGGCAGCAGUGAGGAAUAUUGGUCAAUGGACGAGAGUCUGAACCAGCCAAGUAGCGUGAAGGAUGACUGCCCUAUGGGUUGUAAACUUCUUUUAUACGAGAAUAAAGUGGAGUAUGCAUACUCCUUUGUAUGUACCGUAUGAAUAAGGAUCGGCUAACUCCGUG
rnacentral:rRNA from 1 species